rnacentral:rRNA from 1 species
UACGUAGGGGGCUAGCGUUGUCCGGAAUCAUUGGGCGUAAAGAGCGCGUAGGCGGCUCGGUAAGUCCGCUGUGAAAGUCCAGGGCUCAACCCUGGAAUGCCGGUGGAAACUGUCGAGCUAGAGUCCGGAAGAGGCGAGUGGAAUUCCCGGUGUAGCGGUGAAAUGCGCAGAUAUCGGGAGGAACACCGGUGGCGAAGGCGGUUCUCUGGGCCGUACCUGACGCUGAGGAGCGAAAGCGUGGGGAGCGAACAGG